UACGUAGGGUGCAAGCGUUGUCCGGAAUUAUUGGGCGUAAAGAGCUCGUAGGUGGUUUGUCGCGUUGUUCGUGAAAACUCACAGCUUAACUGUGGGCGUGCGGGCGAUACGGGCAGACUGGAGUACUGCAGGGGAGACUGGAAUUCCUGGUGUAGGGGUGGAAUGCGCAGAUAUCAGGAGGAACACCGGUGGCGAAGGCGGGUCUCUGGGCAGUAACUGACGCUGAGGAGCGAAAGCGUGGGGAGCGAACAGG
rnacentral:rRNA from 1 species